CCUACGGGCGGCAGCAGUGGGGAAUAUUGGACAAUGGGCGAAAGCCUGAUCCAGCCAUGCCGCGUGUGUGAAGAAGGCCUUCGGGUUGUAAAGCACUUUCAGUGGGGAAGAAAGCCUUGGGGCUAAUACCCUCGAGGAAGGACAUCACCCACAGAAGAAGCACCGGCUACACUCCGUGCCAGCAGCCGCGGUAAUACGGAGGGUGCGAGCGUUAAUCGGAAUUACUGGGCGUAAAGCGCGCGUAGGCGGUCUGAUAAGCCGGUUGUGAAAGCCCCGGGCUCAACCUGGGAACGGCAUCCGGAACUGUCAGGCUAGAGUGCAGGAGAGGAAGGUAGAAUUCCCGGUGUAGCGGUGAAAUGCGUAGAGAUCGGGAGGAAUACCAGUGGCGAAGGCGGCCUUCUGGACUGACACUGACGCUGAGGUGCGAAAGCGUGGGUAGCAAACAGGAUUAGAUACCCCAGUAGUC
rnacentral:rRNA from 1 species